rnacentral:rRNA from 1 species
AGCAGUCGCCGCGGUAACACGAAGGGGGCUAGCGUUGCUCGGAAUCACUGGGCGUAAAGGGUGCGUAGGCGGGUCUUUAAGUCAGGGGUGAAAUCCUGGAGCUCAACUCCAGAACUGCCUUUGAUACUGAAGAUCUUGAGUUCGGGAGAGGUGAGUGGAACUGCGAGUGUAGAGGUGAAAUUCGUAGAUAUUCGCAAGAACACCAGUGGCGAAGGCGGCUUACUGGCUCGAAACUGACGCUGAGGCGCGAAAGCGUGGGGAGCGAACAGGAUUAGAGACCCCCGUAGUCCCUGUCUCUUAUAC